rnacentral:rRNA from 1 species
CAGAGGUGGCAAGCGUUGUUCGGAAUUACUGGGCGUAAAGGGCGCGUAGGCGGCCAUCUAAGUCAGACGUGAAAUCCCCCGGCUUAACCUGGGAACUGCGUCUGAUACUGGAAGGCUUGAAUUUGGGAGAGGGAUGUGGAAUUCCAGGUGUAGCGGUGAAAUGCGUAGAUAUCUGGAGGAACACCGGUGGCGAAGGCGGCAUCCUGGACCAAUAUUGACGCUGAGGCGCGAAAGCUAGGGGAGCAAACGGGAUUAGAUACCCCGGUAGUCCUAGCCCUAAACGAUGAAUGCUUGGUGUGGCGGGUAUCGAUCCCUGCCGUGCCGAAGCUAACGCAUUAAGCAUUCCGCCUGGGGAGUACGGUCGCAAGGCUG